UACGUAGGGUGCAGGCGUUAAUCGGAAUUACUGGGCGUAAAGCGUGCGCAGGCGGCCUCUUAAGUCAGAUGUGAAAUCCCCGGGCUUAACCUGGGAACUGCGUUUGAAACUGGGAGGCUAGAGUGUGGAAGAGGGGGGUGGAAUUCCAGGUGUAGCAGUGAAAUGCGUAGAGAUCUGGAGGAACACCGAUGGCGAAGGCAGCCCCCUGGGCCAACACUGACGCUCAGGCACGAAAGCGUGGGGAGCAAACAGG
rnacentral:rRNA from 1 species